rnacentral:rRNA from 1 species
AACUUUCAGCAACGGAUCUCUUGGCUCUCGCAUCGAUGAAGAACGCAGCGCAAAUGCGAUAAGUAAUGUGAAUUGCAGAAUUCAGUGAAUCAUCUGUAAUCUUUGAACGCACCUUGCACUCCUUGGUAUUCCGAGGAGUAUGCCUGUUU